rnacentral:lncRNA from 1 species
CUCUUCUAGACAUUUCUUCUUUCUAAACUUCCGUGUUUCUCAUUUCUUCCAACUGUAGGAAAAGCCAACUCUAACGACCGUUAAACUCUGCCUUCAGUUCUCAGCACCCUGCAGGGUGACAUCCUGAGCAAAUGGUUAUGGUGCCCUCUGCUAUGAACAGAGCGCUGUCUAAGUCCUGGGACUACAAGGUUAUGCUGGCCUCACCUGCAGAUCUGACAGCCAGCCUGUGGACACAGCCAUAUCAACUUGAUGCUGUGAUGAUCAGCAAGGAGAAACUAGGUGUUGGGAAGACACUCCUCAAAGUCAGAUGUGAUUUCGUGGAAUGAGAGUCCAAAAGCACCCAUGACCCAUCCCCACCCCAAGACUAAUACCCAAACUGUUGGGGGACCGGCCAGGAGACUGAAGAGAAGCACAGUGGACGUUCUGUGUGCGGCUGCAUCUCAGAUUGCAGUAGCCCCUGCCAGACUCCUCACGCCCACCUGCGAUAGAACGCUGCUCCUCUCCCCACAUCCCUGCGCUCCUCUGAACCCUGGAGCAGGCAGCAGCGAAGAGUCAGGCUGGAGACUCCUCCCAAACAAGUCAAUGGCGAGCGAAGCAAGCGCUCUAGACCUGUGCGGUCCAAUGCAGCUGCCACCGGACACAGGGGGAGACCCAGCACUUGAAAUGAAGCCAGUGCAAAUUGAGAUGUGCUGUAGCUAUAAAAUACACACCAGAUUUUGAAUACUUAGUAUAAAAAGAGAGUGUAAAAUGUCUCAUUAAUCAUUUUAUGUUGAUUACGUUUUGAAAUGAUACUGUUUUUG